rnacentral:rRNA from 1 species
CCUACGGGGGGCAGCAGUGGGGAAUAUUGGACAAUGGGCGAAAGCCUGAUCCAGCCAUGCCGCGUGUGUGAAGAAGGCCUUCGGGUUGUAAAGCACUUUCAGUGGGGAAGAAAGCCUUGGGGCUAAUACCCUCGAGGAAGGACAUCACCCACAGAAGAAGCACCGGCUAACUCCGUGCCAGCAGCCGCGGUAAUACGGAGGGUGCGAGCGUUAAUCGGAAUUACUGGGCGUAAAGCGCGCGUAGGCGGUCUGAUAAGCCGGUUGUGAAAGCCCCGGGCUCAACCUGGGAACGGCAUCCGGAACUGUCAGGCUAGAGUGCAGGAGAGGAAGGUAGAAUUCCCGGUGUAGCGGUGAAAUGCGUAGAGAUCGGGAGGAAUACCAGUGGCGAAGGCGGCCUUCUGGACUGACACUGACGCUGAGGUGCGAAAGCGUGGGUAGCAAACAGGAUUAGAUACCCAAGUAGUC